GGCACUUUGGCGGAGUGGUUAACGCGCUGCCCUGCUAAGGCAGUUCCGUUCGUGACACCCAUGUCGUUCGGUUGUUACAACUGCUA